rnacentral:rRNA from 1 species
AUACGGAGGGUCCGAGCGCUAAUCGGAAUUACUGGGCGUAAAGGGUGCGUAGGCGGCUUGAUAAGUCGGAUGUGAAAGCCCCGGGCUUAACUUGGGAAUUGCAUUCGAUACUGUCAGGCUAGGGUAUGUCAGGGGUUGGCGGAAUUCCUGGUGUAGCGGUGAAAUGCGUAGAUAUCAGGAGGAACACCAGUGGCGAAGGCGGCUAACUGGGGCAAUACUGACGCUGAGGCACGAAAGCGUGGGGAGCAAACAGGAUUAGAUACCCUAGUAGUCC